CGCUUAGGCGUGUGACUGCGUACCUUUUGUAUAAUGGGUCAGCGACUUAUAUUCUGUAGCAAGGUUAACCGAAUAGGGGAGCCGAAGGGAAACCGAGUCUUAACUGGGCGUUAAGUUGCAGGGUAUAGACCCGAAACCCGGUGAUCUAGCCAUGGGCAGGUUGAAGGUUGGGUAACACUAACUGGAGGACCGAACCGACUAAUGUUGAAAAAUUAGCGGAUGACUUGUGGCUGGGGGUGAAAGGCCAAUCAAACCGGGAGAUAGCUGGUUCUCCCCGAAAGCUAUUUAGGUAGCGCCUCGUGAAUUCAUCUCCGGGGGUAGAGCACUGUUUCGGCAAGGGGGUCAUCCCGACUUACCAACCCGAUGCAAACUGCGAAUACCGGAGAAUGUUAUCACGGGAGACACACGGCGGGUGCUAACGUCCGUCGUGAAGAGGGAAACAACCCAGACCGCCAGCUAAGGUCCCAAAGUCAUGGUUAAGUGGGAAACGAUGUGGGAAGGCCCAGACAGCCAGGAUGUUGGCUUAGAAGCAGCCAUCAUUUAAAGAAAGCGUAAUAGCUCACUGGUCGAGUCGGCCUGCGCGGAAGAUGUAACGGGGCUAAACCAUGCACCGAAGCUGCGGCAGCGACGCUUAUGCGUUGUUGGGUAGGGGAGCGU
rnacentral:rRNA from 1 species